GUCGACGAUGAUCCGGUGCUUGCACCGGGGAUUAGUGGCGAACGGGUGAGUAACACGUGAGUAACCUGCCCUUGACUCUGGGAUAAGCCUGGGAAACCGGGUCUAAUACCGGAUACGACCUGUCACCGCAUGGUGGUGGGUGGAAAGAUUUUUUGGUUUUGGAUGGACUCGCGGCCUAUCAGCUUGUUGGUGAGGUAAUGGCUCACCAAGGCGACGACGGGUAGCCGGCCUGAGAGGGUGACCGGCCACACUGGGACUGAGACACGGCCCAGACUCCUACGGGAGGCAGCAGUGGGGAAUAUUGCACAAUGGGCGAAAGCCUGAUGCAGCGACGCCGCGUGAGGGAUGACGGCCUUCGGGUUGUAAACCUCUUUCAGCAGGGAAGAAGCGAAAGUGACGGUACCUGCAGAAGAAGCGCCGGCUAACUACGUGCCAGCAGCCGCGGUAAUACGUAGGGCGCAAGCGUUGUCCGGAAUUAUUGGGCGUAAAGAGCUCGUAGGCGGUUUGUCGCGUCUGCUGUGAAAGCCCGGGGCUCAACCCCGGGUCUGCAGUGGGUACGGGCAGACUAGAGUGCAGUAGGGGAGACUGGAAUUCCUGGUGUAGCGGUGAAAUGCGCAGAUAUCAGGAGGAAC
rnacentral:rRNA from 1 species